rnacentral:rRNA from 1 species
GACGGAGGAUGCAAGCGUUAUCCGGAAUUAUUGGGCGUAAAGCGUCCGCAGGUGGCUGUUCAAGUCUGCUGUCAAAGCGCAGAGCUUAACUCUGUACAGGCGGUGGAAACUGAAGAGCUAGAGUAUGGUAGGGGUAGGGGGAAUUCCCGGUGUAGCGGUGAAAUGCGUAGAUAUCGGGAAGAACACCAGUGGCGAAAGCGCUCUACUGGGCCAUAACUGACACUGAGGGACGAAAGCUAGGGGAGCGAAAGGG